rnacentral:lncRNA from 1 species
GAGUCUAGUGUGAUUGAUGAUUUACUGUUAUUUGGCCUGUUUUACAGCUUUGAAUGCAUUAUGGGGUUUGAUGUGUUCAUUUUAUAGUUUCGAGUGCAUAUAUUACUGUUUUAUUAAUUAUGGGUUGAAUGACUGAAGAACUGAUAAUGUAUGUUGUCUGUUCGGCAUGAAUUACGAUUUGCUUGUUUAAAUGUGAAUUGAUGAUGCUUAUUGAGGAAAAGGGAAAUGAAACAUUUUGUAGACUGAUAAUUGUAUGAUGGGGUCAGCCUGACUAGAUAUCCUGGGAGAUGGUGGACGGACCGGGUCCGUAGGGAACCCUACCGGGAU